rnacentral:misc_RNA from 1 species
UCCGGCCUUAAGCCGGCAGUCCUGUAUGACACAAAUAACAUACAGCAAGGGUUGCGCUCGUUACCGGACUUAACCGGACAUCUCACGACACGAGCUGACGACAGCCAUGCAGCACCUGUGCAAGCUCCCCGAAGGGUCGGUCCGCUUUCGCUUCCCUACCACUUGCAUGUCAAACCCGGGUAAGGUUCUUCGCGUAGCAUCGAAUUAAACCACACGCUCCGCUGCUUGUGCGGGCCCCCGCCAAUUCCUUUGAGUUUUAACCUUGCGGCCGUAGUCCCCAGGCGGUGGACUUAUCGCGUUAGCUUCGGCACGGAUGGCUUUUACCCCACCCACGCCAAGUCCACAUCGUUUACAGCUAGGACUAC